ACUUUUAAAUGCAGAUGCUUCAAAUUGAACACACUCUUUUUUUAGGCAUGCCAUUUUAUUUUCAUACCAAUGGGAUGUCAUCUUCAUUCCUGUUAAAUGAUUUUUUUUUAGCCCAAGUUUUCAAAUAAAUUUUAGUUAAAGAUUUAAUUCUCAGCAACUGUUAAUCGUAGAUGCUUGAAAUUUUAAAACUCUCUUUGUUUAGACAUGUCAUAUGGUGGAAUGUUUUCGUACCAAUUGGACAUCAACUUCUUGUCAAAAGACCUGUGCUUUUGUUCAUUUUUAGAUUAAAUUUUGAAAUUAUAUUUUUUCAGCAACUAUAAAUUGCAGAUGCUGGAAAGUUUUACUUCUAUUAGUUGAAGAAGGCAAUAUAGUUGGAUUCAUUUUUUCAAAAUUCUCAGUCAACCUCCAGUUAAAUGCUUAUUUUGUAUAUUCACAUCAGUGCAGGGGUAUCACUUGUGAGCAUUGGCUCAUAGAUAUCUUAUAUGUAUGCGUUUUUAAUGGGGAGGGGGAUUGAGAUAUUAUACACCAGCCAUAAAGUUUACCUAUAAUACAUGUAAGCUCGAGCUCUCUCUUUGUAAUGUUAUCAUGGAAUCCCAUUAUGUAAUGAUUAUGUCAAAUGCAUUACAUGUAUUGUGAAAUAAAUUAUAUAAAAGU
rnacentral:sRNA from 1 species